UACUUCUAUCCAUCCCCCCCGUGUGCUUUAAGUGAAAUCUAAUUUGGAAUUUAUUUCGUUCGUGUCCAGCUGUAAGAAUAAAGUGAUUGAAAUCCCGAUCCCGCUCAACUUGGAUGCCCGAAAAUAAGGCAACGACGAGGUCAACACCCAAUGGUCAUUGAUUUCUCAUUGUUUUCGAUCGCAUUUAUUAGCGGUAAACUUGAAAGGAAAACAUUGGCUAGUGUGUAUUAUAUAAGAGUACAAAUGGUAUAUGUUUGUUCAUAAAAUUCUCAACUACAGGCUAAAA